AAAGAAAUUGGAACAGAAAACAGAUGCGUACUAAACAGAGUCAUUGUUCAGGUGUAGCAGCUAUAAUUCUAAGUUUUGGGACUUGCAGUAACAAUUUAAGAGCUAAUCUUCCAAAUAGAAAUGGUCUUAGGCCACUAAAGAACUAAAAGGAAAAAUAAUAAGAGGAAGAAAUGACUCACCUCAUCAAGAAGAAGCGAUUUCUCUUUUGAUAUGCAUACGAAACACACGUUUUGUUCUAGUGCAUCACACUCUCUCUUUACUAUUUUAUGCUCUCAACCUCCCCUUUCACUCACUUGUUUAACUAGAAUUUUUUGUUUGAAGAAAAUGAAGACGAAGUUGUGAAGAGAAGGAAGUUUUUAACUAAAUUUAACCCAUCAUCUAAUCACAGCUGUUGAUAUGUUGGAUGGUCGACCACAACUUGAAAAGAUGGCCAGUUUUCAUGACACCUAGUCGGUCAUCACAGCAGCUCACCAUGUGGCUCGGUCCUGGCCACAAUUUGGAACAGUGAGUGGUGUCAAAUCAGGGGCAACCAAUCUGCCCCUGAGUGCUGAUCAUUUCCAGCAGCAAACUAUUCAAAUUAAUUUCUUUUAUUUGUAUGUUAUUCUUUAAAAAUUUAUUUUAUUUACACAUAUAUAUAUACUAUACCUAUAUAUAUGCAUACAAUAGUUGAAUAUGGAUGUUUAUAUAUAUAUGCAUACAAUAGUUGAAUAUGGAUGUUUAUAUAUAUAUUUUAUCUAGACAUAUCUAUAUUUCUUAGAGAUAUAUAUAUACACACAAAUACAUAUAUGUGUGUUUAUUUUCUUAUUA
rnacentral:lncRNA from 1 species